rnacentral:sRNA from 1 species
CACACGUUGUAUACUGAUGAAGCCACCUUAGGAUGAUUAUUCUGGUGAAAAAAUAGACCAGGAAUCUCUGAGCAAACAUAGAGAAGUUAAUUACUAAGUUGAAAUGCUCUUAUUGGUGUGAAGAACGGUAAUAACUUAAUGGUUUGAUAGCUUUAUACCUAACUUUGCUGAAUUUAUUGUAUGUUUCUGUUCCAAAAGAGAAAAAGAGGGUGGAGAGUUUCUUGCAAUAGCAAAGGCUGCUUGCUCCUUGAUAUUGGAGUUAAUGCCUCAAAAAGUUAAAGUUCAAUAUAAUAUUAUUCACACG